GGUCGAUUAGCUCAGCUGGUUAGAGCGUGGUGCUAAUAGAAUUAUUCUGUAACGCCAAGGCCGUGGGUUCGAUCCCCACAUUGACCU
rnacentral:tRNA from 1 species